AAGACUAUACUUUCAGGGAUCAUUUCUAUAGUUUGUGACUUGAGAAAUGCGUUUCUAAAGUGUUUGGUCUCGCCAACCACGAUGAGGAGUGAAAGUGUCCUCUUCUGAGCGCGAAGCGGACUGGGAUUGUUGCUUCACGGCAGCUGAUCCCGGUCAUUGAUGACCGUUCCUCUCCCCCUUGUGGGGACUGGAGGAAGAGGACACAUUCUGAGUGGUU
ensembl:snoRNA